rnacentral:rRNA from 1 species
GACGAACGCUGGCGGCGUGCUUAACACAUGCAAGUCGAACGGAAAGGCCCUGCUUGCAGAGUACUCGAGUGGCGAACGGGUGAGUAACACGUGGGUGAUCUGCCCUGCACUUCGGGAUAAGCCUGGGAAACUGGGUCUAAUACCGGAUAGGAGCCAUUUUUAGUGUGAUGGUUGGAAAGUUUUUUCGGUGUAGGAUGAGCUCGCGGCCUAUCAGCUUGUUGGUGGGGUAAUGGCCUACCAAGGCGGCGACGGGUAGCCGGCCUGAGAGGGUGGACGGCCACAUUGGGACUGAGAUACGGCCCAGACUCCUACGGGAGGCAGCAGUGGGGAAUAUUGCACAAUGGGCGCGAGCCUGAUGCAGCGACGCCGCGUGGGGGAUGACGGGCUUCGGGUUGGAAACUCGUUUCGCUAGGGACGAAGCUUUUUGUGACGGUACCUAGAUAAGAAGCACCGGCUAACUACGUG